rnacentral:rRNA from 1 species
UGGGGAAUAUUGCACAAUGGGCGGAAGCCUGAUGCAGCGACGCCGCGUGGGGGAUGACGGCCUUCGGGUUGUAAACUCCUUUCACCAUCGACGAAGGGUUUCUGACGGUAGAUGGAGAAGAAGCACCGGCUAACUACGUGCCAGCAGCCGCGGUAAUACGUAGGGUGCGAGCGUUGUCCGGAAUUACUGGGCGUAAAGAGCUCGUAGGUGGUUUGUCGCGUCGUCUGUGAAAUUCCGGGGCUUAACUCCGGGCGUGCAGGCGAUACGGGCAUAACUUGAGUACUGUAGGGGAGACUGGAAUUCCUGGGGUAGCGGUGAAAUGCGCAGAUAUCAGGAGGAACACCGGUGGCGAAGGCGGGUCUCUGGGCAGUAACUGACGCUGAGGAGCGAAAGCAUGGGGAGCGAACAGG